AAUCUAGAUACCCACAGCCCUCAAGGAUCACUCUUUAUGUAAAACUUAUGACAAACAUGAAACUGCAACUGACGUCAGAGCGUGCCUUCAACGGUACUCAGAGCGGAGUGGAGCGUGCCUGCGUCAUCCAGGGAACGGUCUUGUUUUUUUCAUGUUACCGUUAAAAAAAGCUGGAUUUCAUCUCUAUUUAGGGGCAGUUAAUCUGUGAAGAGGGGCAGAUUGUUCCCUAUUGUAUUGCUAUUUUGUUUUGUUUUGUUUGCCUUUCAGAUUGUUUCCUAUUGUUUGGCUUUCAGAUUGUUCCCUAUUCUAUUUUUGGUUUUUGGUUUUUGGCAUGGCCAUGCUCUUUCUUCCUCCUGCUUCUGAGUUUUGUGUGUGGAUGAUAAUUUUUCAAUGGUAAAUUAGUGUGACCAUGGUAGGCCUUGUUUUUUUGUUUGCUCAUAAUUUUUCUUCACCAGGAAGUUGCUCUGGCCUUCACAAGGUAGCUCCACAAUUGUGAAAGUUGCCCAUGGAGCUGGCUUAGAAGUAGCGGUGGGCUCAGGGUUGGUUGCUUAAUCAUGUACUGCUUUCUUGUUAUUCAUCAGAGAGGAGUUCAAGAAGAGCUAUAAAGAGGCCAACCCUAAAAUUGCCCAGAUGGGUAGCGCAGCAGCUCACCUGAAGUGGAAGUGGAAUUUGAUUGUGAUUGGCGUUACAAUCACCUGCAAUGGCUUUAUUGGAAGUGUCUUGCUUAGUAUUUUAGGCAUUAUGGAUGAAUGAUGAUGCAUUCCAUCUAAAGGUGCACAUUUCUGUCACAUUUAUUUAGUCUUUUAUUAAAAGAUGUUGAUUCAAUGGUUUUGAAUAUUGAAUGAGUUUUGCAGUGAGGCCUGCAAGAAGGAUGUGCCUCUAGCGACUACUGAUAUGCAUAACUACUAGCAGGAUGGGAAAAUCUGGACUAAUUUUGGUUUGUUGUUUUACGAUUGCUUAUAUAUUUUAUUUAUUCCCUUUUAGGUUUUGGUUUAUAUGUACUACCACUGUGUUAAUUUGUGCUAUAUGCAGGUGCAGAAACCCCAAUAGCACCACAAGAACCCAAGCGUUCAGAGGCUAAGAAACCAGCUGAAUUGUACUGCUUCGGCUUCUCUUUUUGUUUCGUAGAGUCUCAUGGUUUGAUACAUUUUACUAAAUCUGUUUGUUGAUGUUGGCUUUGUGAAUUUUGUUUUAGCAGAAAGAGGUCAAAGAGUAAGAUAUCUUUUAUUUGCUUGUAUUCAUGUACUCCAUGUCUUUUCCUUGUUUGAGUAUAUUUCAUUGUUUUUGUUUUAUUUAAUUAAUAGAAAAUCAUACAUUUGCUUUGUCUGCUUGUUGAACCUGUUUUAAUGGAAGGGAGGAGUUCAAGAAGACCUAUAAAGGGCAUUGCCCACGUAUCAAUUGAAUUGGCAUAUUUUUGUAUGUCGUGCAUGUGUAUUUCCUUCAUGUGAGUUGAUAUUUAGGGUAUCUGUGCCCAUGUCAAAGUUGUAUAUUUCUGAGAUGGCUCUGUGUCGAAUGGCACAUUUGUGUUAAUUGGUAUUUGUUGCUUGAUUUGGGCGUGAUAAGCAUUGGGCAUCUUUUUGUGAAUUAAAAUGUUAUGAUUAUGUUUAUGUACUUUUCUCUUCUAUGUAUCAACUGUAAGGAAGUUUCUGUUUGUUUUUUGUCUUAUCCUCUCAAAUCAUUCUUGGUUUGAAGAUACAUGUAUUUUUUUUUAUUGUCUACCAUGUUUGCAUGGGAGUAGUUCUACAUUGCAUUUUUUUGCUGGACUGUUGUUUGUGGCUUCGAUUUGAAGUGUCCAAAUUUUUAUUUGAAAUUUCUAUGGUGUUUGUGCCAUCUGUGCAUGUAUCAGUUUUGUCUGCUCCACUUGAUAGGCAUGUCAGUUGCACUAUGUGAGCUGUCUUAAAAUAUGCUUACUUGGAGUUGUCCUUAAAAUGUUAGUGGGUGGCAUUCAUCUAUGAUGCCUGCUAUUUUCGUAAAUGAUUUACUUUGGGGCUUCUUAAUACAUAUUUAUAUUACAAAGGGAAACUUCAAAUUGAAUAACAUCUUGUUUCUUAUUUGGGUCAUGUUCCACCUGCAGCUUGCCAAAGAUGGCGGUGAUAAGUGGAAGUCUUUGUCAGAUGAGGUUUGCAGCUAGGCUACCAUAUGGUUGGUAAAAUAUGUUGGUAGGUUGCAAAAUAUGUCAGAGGUUGAUGUCUUGGCUUUUUGUUUUUUGAUUGCUUUUAGGAGAAGAAGCAAUAUAUUGAGAAAGUAUUUGUUUUUUAAAUUUAAGUAUGCUAGUUUGUAUGUAUAUUGACAUCGUGUUUGCUUAUAUGAAAUAUAUGUUUGAACUUUGGUAUCCCUUUAAUUUAUUUGAGAGAAUUGUGACAAUUAUUUUUUUAUGAUUGCAAUGAGAGCUUGAACUUUUGCAUUCAUUUAUUUGAUUGAUUUACCAUUUGUGUGCUUAUAUACAUUUGAACUUUCUCAUUCACCUAGAGUGAGCCACUUCUUAUUUGUGUGUAAAGGCAUCCACUUAUUUAAGUGAGACAUGUGCUUGAAUUUUGACGUCCUUUAUUGUUUCAGUGAAUUUUGAUAUGACCCAUUUUGUGUUUGUGAGGUCUGUGCUUGAAUUGCUUUUAAAUUCACUUGGAUUUGAGCAACUUAUCCUUUGUGUGUAUUUGCAUCCACUUAUUAUUUGUGUGAAAUGUGGGUUUAAAUUUUGGAAUAUCCUUGGUUGGGUGAACUUAGUUUUAUCUUUGUUUGAAGAGUGUUUUUAACUUAGACGUACACUUUGUGUGUGUUAAGAAUGGGCUAGCCUGGGUAGUUUGAACUUUAUUGUUUACAUUAUAUAUGUAUGGAGUUUGUGUUUGAAUAAUCUCUGUGUGAGGUGUCCUUUAAUUUGGUAUCCCUUUAAUUUAUUUGAGAGAAUUGUGACAAUUAUUUUUUUAUGAUUGCAAUGUGAGCUUGAACUUUUGCAUUCAUUUAUUUGAUUGAUUUACCAUUUGUGUGCUUAUAUACAUUUGAACUUUCUCAUUCACCUAGAGUGAGCCACUUCUUAUUUGUGUGUAAAGGCAUCCACUUAUUUAAGUGAGACAUGUGCUUGAAUUUUGACGUCCUUUAUUGUUUCAGUGAAUUUUGAUAUGACCCAUUUUGUGUUUGUGAGGUUUGUGCUUGAAUUGCUUUUAAAUUCACUUGGAUUUGAGCAACUUAUCCUUUGUGUGUAUUUGCAUCCACUUAUUAUUUGUGUGAAAUGUGGGUUUAAAUUUUGGAAUAUCCUUGGUUGGGUGAACUUAGUUUUAUCUUUGUUUGAAGAGUGUUUUUAACUUAGACGUACACUUUGUGUGUGUUAAGAAUGUGCUAGCCUGGGUAGUUUGAACUUUAUUGUUUACAUUAUAUAUGUAUGGAGUUUGUGUUUGAAUAAUCUCUGUGUGAGGUGUCCUUUAAUUUGGUAUCCCUUUAAUUUAUUUGAGAGAAUUGUGACAAUUAUUUUUUUAUGAUUGCAAUGUGAGCUUGAACUUUUGCAUUCAUUUAUUUGAUUGAUUUACCAUUUGUGUGCUUAUAUACAUUUGAACUUUCUCAUUCACCUAGAGUGAGCCACUUCUUAUUUGUGUGUAAAGGCAUCCACUUAUUUAAGUGAGACAUGUGCUUGAAUUUUGACGUCCUUUAUUGUUUCAGUGAAUUUUGAUAUGACCCAUUUUGUGUUUGUGAGGUCUGUGCUUGAAUUGCUUUUAAAUUCACUUGGAUUUGAGCAACUUAUCCUUUGUGUGUAUUUGCAUCCACUUAUUAUUUGUGUGAAAUGUGGGUUUAAAUUUUGGAAUAUCCUUGGUUGGGUGAACUUAGUUUUAUCUUUGUUUGAAGAGUGUUUUUAACUUAGACGUACACUUUGUGUGUGUUAAGAAUGUGCUAGCCUGGGUAGUUUGAACUUUAUUGUUUACAUUAUAUAUGUAUGGAGUUUGUGUUUGAAUAAUCUCUGUGUGAGGUGUCCAUACUAACUUAAGCAUUUACUUUAUAGUGUUUUUAACUUAGACAUUUGUGUGGAAUAUGCUUGAAAGAGCUUUGUUUUUUGUUUGUAUGAAUAAAGUUUGGUUAUUAUUUUGUGUGGAAUGUACAAAUUAACUUUUGAAUUUGUGUGGCACGUGUGUAUAAAAACACUUUAAUUGUGUUUUCUAUGUGUGUGAAUGAACUUUGGUUUUCAUUGUUGCGUGUUUGAAAUAACUUGGCAUCCAUAUGAAAGUGUAUGAAUGAACUUUGAACUUAGAACUUAGGCAUUCACUAUUUGCAUGCUUGAAAGUUUAUAGCAUUCACUUCAUCUGAAGUGGAUGUGUGUGUGUGUGUGUGUGCGCGUGCGCGCAAGUGGGUGUGAAAGUUACUUUGUUAUUCACAUUGUGUGAAGUGUUUGACUCUAUGCUUGAACUAACUUUGACAUUAAUUUUCUUCCAGUAUAAAUAUACUUCGUGCAUGUAUGUAUUUGAUUUGAACUUUGGCAUCCCCUUAAAAUUAUUGAGUGAAUGUUGCAUUCAUUUUUGUGAGUGAAAUAUGAGUUUGGACUUUUGCAUUCAUUUAUUCAAUUGACUUACCAUCUAUAUUUGAACAUUCCCAUUCACUUGGUGUGUUUUGGCAUCCACUUAUUUGUGCAAGGUGCUUGAACUUUGACUUUGAGUAUGAACUCUAGUAUUCAUUGUGUGUGAGAGUGAAUUAUUUUCAACAUUUAAUUGAAUUUGAGCCAUUCAUUAUUCCUGUAAGAUGUGUGUUUAAUAUCCUUCCUAUUUGAAUGAACUUAAUUAUUCAUUUUUAUUUUUUUAUUUUUGUGUGAGAUAAAAAGUAAAACCAAUGUAUCUAGAUUUUAGAGGUCAGUCUAAUGCUAUCCUUGCAUUUAAAAACUUGCAUCCACUUCAGUUUAGUGAUACCUUGGAAUCUAUGGAUAGUAAGGUAAAAGAUAAAAUCAAUGUAUCUACAAUUAAAAUCUUCAAUGAGUUCAAAUUAACCCAAGAGCUCGUAUAUAGAUCCUUGAGUUAUGAUAAACUCUGGAUCCAAGAUUUUAUUCACUUUGCUUGUUAUGUUGGUGUUCAUAUUGUGCAUAUUCCUUUUCCUUUUUGGGUUUUUUUUUUUUUUAAUUGGUCUAUUAUUGAACUCACGAUAUGACUUGAAAUGAUCGUUAAGAUUUUUCUUCAAGGUUCCUUUGUUCCCUGGUGUCUUUAUUAUGAUCUCAGCCACAACUGUGUCUACUGGUUUGGCAUACAAUCCUUGUCUCUCAUUAGGCCAUGCUUCCUAUUCAUGCCCAGAGUAGUUUGGACUGAGAUGAUUCACUUGCUUAUACCCUAUGGCUCUCUUAAAUGCCUUGCUCGCAUACAUAAAUCGGCUCUCUUAAAUGCCUUGCUCGCAUACAUAAAUCGGCUCUCUUGUUCAUAAACUCUUGGUGUAAAUGUGUGUUGCAACCAAAACAGGGCUUGGAAUUUCCCUGUUAAUCUUUGUUGUGCAGUCCCUAUGUGCAAGAAAAAGAUUAUUACAAUUUUGUGUGUUUGAGGUAUACCUUGAAUGGUGGUGCUUUGAAUGGUGAUCUUUUUCCUUAUCCUUGCAUUUGUAGUUGAUAAAAUCUAAAUUUUCUUUCAAAUUUUUUCAUAAGUUUGAAGUACAUUGAUUUUUACGAAAUUCUUGAUCUGCUGGAGCCUCUCUUUCUAUUACUCUCAUGCAGAAUUCCCAAGCAUUCUACUGGUUUCCAUCUUUCUCGUGGCAGUAUUCCAUCCAUGACAUCUAGAUUUUAUUGCAAGUUUUUGUACAAUUUUUAAAUGGUUUUAAGUUUUCUAUGAAAGAAUCGGUUCCACCGAGGACAACCAAAUAUGAUGGCCAACUAAACCAAUAAUCUUAAUAGAUAGUCUCUAACUGUUAACUAAUGAAUAGUCUCCAUCUUUUCUUUCUUUAUCUAGAUUUAAAGUACUAUAACCCAUCAGAGGUAAAAUUAAAUGUUGAGUACUCCCAAAAUCUGAUUCAAUUCAGUCAAUGACAUAGUGUCAAAUACUUCUGUGUCUUCUAUGAUGUGGUUAGCUCGUGCUUUCAGGUAAAGUAGUUCUACUUUCUAUGGAACUACAUGUAGCCAAUUCCAUGAUAUUCUUUCUAAAUUAUAAAAAAUCACAGCCCUGUUUUUCACUUCAGUUUAGAUGAAUUAAACAUGUUGACAAAAUUAUAUUUUAAACGCAAAUUAGACACUACAUUUACUGUUAGGAGUUAUAAGCAAUUUCUAUUAAGAGUUUGACUUGGUAUUAUUUUUCUUUAUUAUGUUUCAGGAAGAGCUGCGGGCUCAGGGUUGGGUGUUUACUCAGGUACUUGGUGAGUUUAAGUGACAUAAGAAUAGGUUAUCAUAAAAAUGAAAUGAAAUUUAUAUUAAUUAAUAAGGAAAUUAUGUGAAACUUUUUGUGCCUUGAAUAUCAUAUUGUAAAGGAAAAUAUACUUCUCAUUUACAAAUUUGCAAGCCAAACAUGCACACUGUAGAUUUAGUCUUGUUUAUAAUAGUUUUAAGUUCAUUGUUUUAUC